rnacentral:tRNA from 1 species
UCCCCUGUAGUUCAAUUGGUAGAACGUCGUGCUGUUAACGCGAAUGUUGUAGGUUCGAACCCUGCUGGGGGAG